UACGAAGGGUGCAAGCGUUACUCGGAAUUACUGGGCGUAAAGCGUGCGUAGGUGGUUCGUUAAGUCUGAUGUGAAAGCCCUGGGCUCAACCUGGGAAUGGCAUUGGAUACUGGCGAUCUAGAGUGCGGUAGAGGGCAGUGGAAUUCCCGGUGUAGCAGUGAAAUGCGUAGAGAUCGGGAGGAACAUCUGUGGCGAAGGCGACUGCCUGGACCAGCACUGACACUGAGGCGCGAAAGCUAGGGGAGCAAACGGG
rnacentral:rRNA from 1 species